GGGGGUGCCAAGGUUUCGACGGGGAUUGGAAGCGAAGGUUGCAUGCCGGAGUGGGCAGGCUCCGUAAAAAAGCCCAACACAUACAAACGCCGAUACUGACGUUCGUUACGCACUGGCCGCUUAAAUAAGCGACCACGUUUCUUGACCCAUCGCCCGUGUGGGACUUGAAACGUUAUUCAGCGGGAUAGUUUCAGUGAGUGUCUGCGGCACUGGGGCGAAAUCAAGCAGGCUCGCCCGAAGGAAAUCCUGUUCGUGGGAGUUUCAAGGGUUAAUUCAAUACACGAACUAAGCAUGUAGAAGCCUUACGUGAAAGAUUUUCGGACGCGGGUUCGAUUCCCGCCACCUCCACCA
rnacentral:tmRNA from 1 species